CUUAACCUACGCGAAGAUGAACAGGGGGACGUCGUCUUAGAGGAAGACCUUGAGGAACUAGAGAAGGAUGCCGAAUUCAUGGCACUGGCAAGGAUUCAUACCUCACGCACUUUCAGCCAUGGAGCCUUCUUUGGAGCCAUGAGGUCCGCGUGGAAUCUUGCCCAAGAAGUGGAAUUUAGAGCAAUCAAAGACAACCUCUUUCCAGUGCAACUAUACUGCUUGGUAGAUUGGGAAUAUGUGAUGCGUGACGGUCCGUGGUUAUUCUGUAACUGCCCGAUGUUGCUGGCUAGCUAUGAUGGUUGGUCGGAACUUGAGGAUACAGAGUUAUUUCACAUAUCAGGCAUGUGUGAGAAUCAUGAGCUUGAAGGAGAAGAUGCGCACAUGUAG
rnacentral:rRNA from 1 species